rnacentral:rRNA from 1 species
AGAGUUUGAUCCUGGCUCAGAUUGAACGCUGGCGGCAGGCCUAACACAUGCAAGUCGAGCGGGGUUUUCGGACCUAGCGGCGGACGGGUGAGUAAUGCGUAGGAAGCUACCCGAUAGAGGGGGAUACCAGUUGGAAACGACUGUUAAUACCGCAUAAUGUCUACGGACCAAAGUGUGGGACCUUCGGGCCACAUGCUAUCGGAUGCGCCUACGUGGGAUUAGCUAGUUGGUGGGGUAAUGGCUCACCAAGGCGACGAUCCCUAGCUGGUUUGAGAGGAUGAUCAGCCACACUGGAACUGAGACACGGUCCAGACUCCUACGGGAGGCAGCAGUGGGGAAUAUUGGACAAUGGGCGCAAGCCUGAUCCAGCCAUGCCGCGUGUGUGAAGAAGGCCUUCGGGUUGUAAAGCACUUUCAGCGAGGAGGAAGGGAGUUGUGUUAAUAACACAGCUUCUUGACGUUACUCGCAGAAGAAGCACCGGCUAACUCUGUGCCAGCAGCCGCGGUAAUACAGAGGGUGCAAGCGUUAAUCGGAAUUACUGGGCGUAAAGCGCACGUAGGCGGUUUUUUAAGUCAGAUGUGAAAGCCCCGGGCUCAACCUGNGAAUUGCAUUUGAAACUGGAAAACUAGAGUGUGUGAGAGGGGGGUAGAAUUC